rnacentral:ncRNA from 1 species
GAAGUGGUGUUUCCAGUGGCGAACGGGUGAGUAACGCGUAAGAACCUGCCCUUGGGAGGGGAACAACAACUGGAAACGGUUGCUAAUACCCCGUAGGCUGAGGAGCAAAAGGAGAAAUCCGCCCAAGGAGGGGCUCGCGUCUGAUUAGCUAGUUGGAGAGGCAAUAGCUUACCAAGGCGAUGAUCAGUAGCUGGUCCGAGAGGAUGAUCAGC